rnacentral:lncRNA from 1 species
CAAGCAUUAUCAAGAACCGUUAGGGAUUUUAAUAUUCACCAAAUAAUGACAAAUGACAUCCCUAUGUUUCUGGACUUUCUCUGGGACUUGUUUCUUCUGGUGGAAGUUCCAAGAAAGAGCGAAGUGAACUUGGAGCAGGUGGUACAUCCUUCCAUUGCAGAACUCUGCUCGCAGCCUGAGGAAAACUUUACACUGAAGGUG